GUUUAAUAAGACUCUUAUUGCUAACUUGGACACCUUUGCUCCUCUGAAGACACACAAGACCUUCAGAACAGCUGCUAGUCAGCCUGUCGUUCUCUCAACGGAAGCCUGAAACCGGAGCCAUGAGUGAAUGCCAAACUUUUCAGGAAAAGACCUACAUGUUCUGCCCCCUGUGAGCUGACAACU
ensembl:lncRNA